ACUUUGCCAAUCCAAGAUUAGGAACCCAAAGGCCCUAGUUCUGCAUAUUUUCUGGAGAACUGUGUGAUUUCAAAAUGGGGAGUUUUAAUGGAGUCAAAAUUUGGAAUAAAUAACAAGAUUUGAUACAGUCUUUCAAGUAAGUUUUCAUGGAUUCAUUAAUUUUCUUUCUUUUUUUUUUUUUUUUUUUUGAGAUGGAGUCUUGCUCUGUCACCCAGGCUGGAGUGCAGUGGCGCAAUCUAGGCUCACUGUAAGCUCCACCUCCCGGGUUUACUUAUGCCAUUCUCCUGCCUCAGCCUCCUGAGUAGCUGGGACUACAGGCGCGUGCCACCACACCUGGUUAAUUUUUUGUAUUUUUAG
rnacentral:lncRNA from 10 species